rnacentral:rRNA from 1 species
UGGCGAACGGGUGAGUAACGCGUGAGGAACCUGCCUCAAAGAGGGGGACGAACAGUUGGAAACGACUGCUAAUACCGCAUAAGCCCACGGCUCGGCAUCGAGCAGAGGGAAAAGGAGUGAUCCGCUUUGAGAUGGCCUCGCGUCCGAUUAGCUGGUUGGUGAGGUAACGGCCCACCAAGCCUUCGAUGGAUAGGGGUUCUGAGAGGAAGGUCCCCCACAUUGGAACUGAGACACGGUCCAAACUCCUACGGGAGGCAGCAUG